CCUACGGGAGGCAGCAGUAGGGAAUCUUCCACAAUGGGCGAAAGCCUGAUGGAGCAACGCCGCGUGGGUGAAGAAGGUCUUCGGAUCGUAAAACCCUGUUGUUAGAGAAGAAAGUGCGUGAGAGUAACUGUUCACGUUUCGACGGUAUCUAACCAGCAAGCCACGGCUAACUACGUGCCAGCAGCCGCGGUAAUACGUAGGUGGCAAGCGUUAUCCGGAUUUAUUGGGCGUAAAGGGAACGAAGGCGGUCUUUUAAGUCUGAUGUGAAAGGCUUCGGCUUAACCGGGGUAGUGCAUUGGAAACUGGGAGACUUGAGUGCAGAAGAGGAGAGUGGAACUCCAUGUGGAGCGGUGAAAUGCGUAGAUAUAUGGAAGAACACCAGUGGCGAAAGCGGCUCUCUGGUCUGUAACUGACGCUGAGGUUCGAAAGCGUGGGUAGCAAACAGGAUUAGAUACCCGAGUAGUC
rnacentral:rRNA from 1 species